rnacentral:rRNA from 1 species
GACGAACGCUGGCGGCACGCUUAACACAUACAAGUCGAACGGAAAGGCCUGCUUUCCCCUGUGGAUUGCGGGUACUCGAGUGGCGAACGGGUGAGUAACACGUGAGUGAUCUGCCCCCAACUUGGGUAUAAGCCUGGGAAACUGGGUCUAAUUCCCGAUAGGACUGCAGGGUGGUGCCUGUGGUGGAAAACGAUUUUCUAGUGGUUGGGGAUGAGCUCGCGGCCUAUCAGCUUGUUGGUGGGGUAAUGGCCUACCAAGGCGGCGACGGGUAGCCGGCCUGAGAGGGUGGACGGUCGCAUUGGGACUGAGAUACGGCCCAGACUCCUACGGGAGGCAGCAGUGGGGAAUAUUGCACAAUGGGCGGAAGCCUGAUGCAGCGACGCCGCGUGGGGGAUGACGGCCUUCGGGUUGUAAACUCCUUUCGACCGCGAGGAAGCCACCUGGUUGGAAGGGUGGUGACGGUAGUGGUAGAAGAAGCACCGGCUAACUACGUG